AUGGACACCGUUUCGUUAGGUUUUGGCGAUAUCGGGGCGACUGCCCCGCCGCCGCCGCCGCCGCUCGCCCGGCCGGCCGUCAGGCAUGCCGGCACCGUUGUCACAUGCGAUCCUGGAUUGCAUGGUGGCCCUUUUGCGGCUCCGUCCGCCAGUGACUCGGAGGGACGCGGAAGCGGAACUCUCGAGAAGGUUUUCUCCAAGGCUAAAUCGAUGCGAUCUGGGAAGUACGACGGCGCACUGCAUCUGUUCUCUAAGUCCGUUGACGGCAUGAACCUCAUGCUUGGUGUGGAUACUGGCUCUACGGAGAGAUAUAUAAAGAUGUACAGGGUUCCUAUUUUGGCACAGACGGAUCUGAGAGCGAGGGAGCCGCCUGACCGUACAACGACGUACAUCUCCGAAGGCGGUCUGGGCAUGGACAACAUGACGAUGCCGAGGGCAACACCUACUGCUCAGUUGCUGAUGGUCCCUAUGGUGAACUUGGCGACUGGUGGGGGCGAGAACGGGACACCUGAUGAAGGGGUUACCCGCCCGAAGCUAGCCACCGAGGAAUCCCUGGAUCAUGUGGUGGCGAGCCCAGACCUGCAGGCAUCGGUGGAUCAGGCUUUGUCCAAGCGGGCUAAGGUGCUAAAGUUUCAGCUAGCAAAGCAGCAGCCAGAGUGCAGCAAGGUCAGGGAGCUUGCAAAUAACUUUGAUCAGAAGGAUGGAAUUAGUGGGGAAAUUCCAUGGCUCAGGCAGUGUGCGCAUGAGAACAAGAAAACAUCUGCUCCUCUGUGCUCUCAGGAGCUGAUACCUCCGCUGCGUGAAUUAAGUAACCUGGUGAUCAUGUCCUAUGGUGAGGGGAACACGGAGAUGUUUAAUGCUGAACUAAUUCUGGGUAAAAGGACUACUACAAAAAGGAAACAAGUGGUGAACCAGACAGUGCAUGACAAGAUGAUUGUGCUGUAUGAUGAAAGUGCAGUUGGAGGAGUACAGAAGGGUAAGCUGGGGGAGGAGCAGGAAGGUCAGCAAGACGAUAUGGAAGCGACCGGCCCAGGGGCUGCCGGCAACCUGACGGGGCCAUAUGUGGCGCCCCGUCAGGAGCAAUGA
rnacentral:rRNA from 1 species